AGGUACAGUGGUACACACCUGUAGUCCCAGCUACUUGGAAAGCUGAGGCAGGAGGAUCACUUGAGCCCAGGAGUUCUGGGCUAUACUAUGCUAUGCCUAUCGGGUGUCCUCCAAGCAUUAAUAUGGUGACCUCCUGGGAUCAGGGGACACCACCUAAGGAGGGAUGAACCAGCCUAAGUGAGAAAUGGAGCAGGUCAAAACUCCAGUUCUGAUCAGUACUGGGAUCUUGCCUGUGAAUGGCAACCGCACUCCAGCCUGGGCAACAUUGUGAGAGUGUGAGACCCUAUCUCU
rnacentral:SRP_RNA from 1 species